UACGUAGGGGGCGAGCGUUGUCCGGAAUCAUUGGGCGUAAAGCGCGUGUAGGCGGCUCGAUAAGUCCGGUGUGAAACCUUGGGGCUCAACCCCAAGCCUGCACUGGAUACUGUCGAGCUUGAGUCCGGGAGGGGAGAGCGGAAUUCCUAGUGUAGCGGUGAAAUGCGCAGAUAUUAGGAAGAACACCGGUGGCGAAGGCGGCUCUCUGGAACGGUACUGACGCUGAGACGCGAAAGCGUGGGGAGCGAACAGG
rnacentral:rRNA from 1 species